UACGGGGGGGGUAAGCGUUGUUCGGAAUUACUGGGCGUAAAGGGCUCGUAGGCGGCCAACUAAGUCAAACGUGAAAUCCCUCGGCUUAACCGGGGAACUGCGCUUGAUACUGGAUGGCUUGAGAUUGGGAGAGGGAUGCGGAAUUCCAGGUGUAGCGGUGAAAUGCGUAGAUAUCUGGAGGAACACCGGUGGCGAAGGCGGCAUCCUGGACCAACACUGACGCUGGGGAGCGAAAGCCAGGGGAGCAAACGGG
rnacentral:rRNA from 1 species